rnacentral:rRNA from 1 species
CGCUGGCGGCAGGCCUAACACAUGCAAGUCGAGCGGAAACGAGUUAUCUGAACCUUCGGGGAACGAUAACGGCGUCGAGCGGCGGACGGGUGAGUAAUGCCUGGGAAAUUGCCCUGAUGUGGGGGAUAACCAUUGGAAACGAUGGCUAAUACCGCAUAAUAGCUUCGGCUCAAAGAGGGGGACCUUCGGGCCUCUCGCGUCAGGAUAUGCCCAGGUGGGAUUAGCUAGUUGGUGAGGUAAUGGCUCACCAAGGCGACGAUCCCUAGCUGGUCUGAGAGGAUGAUCAGCCACACUGGAACUGAGACACGGUCCAGACUCCUACGGGAGGCAGCAGUGGGGAAUAUUGCACAAUGGGCGCAAGCCUGAUGCAGCCAUGCCGCGUGUAUGAAGAAGGCCUUCGGGUUGUAAAGUACUUUCAGCAGUGAGGAAGGUGGUUGUGUUAAUAGCACUAUCAUUUGACGUUAGCUGCAGAAGAAGCACCGGCUAACUCCGUGCCAGCAGCCGCGGUAAUACGGAGGGUGCGAGCGUUAAUCGGAAUUACUGGGCGUAAAGCGCAUGCA